rnacentral:rRNA from 1 species
AUUGAACGCUGGCGGAAUGCUUUACACAUGCAAGUCGAACGGCAGCACGGACUUCGGUCUGGUGGCGAGUGGCGAACGGGUGAGUAAUGUAUCGGAACGUGCCCAGUCAUGGGGGAUAACGUAGUGAAAAUUACGCUAAUACCGCAUACGAUCUAUGGAUGAAAGCGGGGGAUCGCAAGACCUCGCGCGAUUGGAGCGGCCGAUAUCAGAUUAGGUAGUUGGUGGGGUAAAGGCCCACCAAGCCAACGAUCUGUAGCUGGUCUGAGAGGACGACAAGCCACACUGGAACGGAGACACGGUCCAGACUCCUACGGGAGGCAGCAGUGGGGAAUUUUGGACAAUGGGCGAAAGCCUGAUCCAGCCAUUCCGCGUGCAGGAUGAAGGCCCUCGGGUUGUAAACUGCUUUUGUACAGAACGAAAAGGUUUCUACUAAUACUAGGAGCUCAUGACGGUACUGUAAGAAUAAGCACCGGCUAACUACGUGCCAGCAGCCGCAGUAA